rnacentral:rRNA from 1 species
GCUGGCGGCGUGCCUAAUACAUGCAAGUCGAACGCUUCUUUUCCCACCGGAGCUUGCUCCACCGGGAAAAGAGGAGUGGCGAACGGGUGAGUAACACGUGGGUAACCUGCCCAUCAGAAGGGGAUAACACUUGGAAACAGGUGCUAAUACCGUAUAACAAUCGAAACCGCAUGGUUUCGUUUUGAAAGGCGCUUUACGGUGCCGCUGAUGGAUGGACCCGCGGUGCAUUAGCUAGUUGGUGAGGUAACGGCUCACCAAGGCCACGAUGCAUAGCCGACCUGAGAGGGUGAUCGGCCACAUUGGGACUGAGACACGGCCCAAACUCCUACGGGAGGCAGCAGUAGGGAAUCUUCGGCAAUGGACGAAAGUCUGACCGAGCAACGCCGCGUGAGUGAAGAAGGUUUUCGGAUCGUAAAACUCUGUUGUUAGAGAAGAACAAGGGUGAGAGUAACUGUUCACCCCUUGACGGUAUCUAACCAGAAAGCCACGGCUAACUACGUGCCAGCAGCCGCGGUAAUACGUAGGUGGCAAGCGUUGUCCGGAUUUAUUGGGCGUAAAGCGAGCGCAGGCGGUUUCUUAAGUCUGAUGUGAAAGCCCCCGGCUCAACCGGGGAGGGUCAUUGGAAACUGGGAGACUUGAGUGCAGAAGAGGAGAGUGGAAUUCCAUGUGUAGCGGUGAAAUGCGUAGAUAUAUGGAGGAACACCAGUGGCGAAGGCGGCUCUCUGGUCUGUAACUGACGCUGAGGCUCGAAAGCGUGGGGAGCAAACAGGAUUAGAUACCCUGGUAGUCCACGCCGUAAACGAUGAGUGCUAAGUGUUGGAGGGUUUCCGCCCUUCAGUGCUGCAGCUAACGCAUUAAGCACUCCGCCUGGGGAGUACGACCGCAAGGUUGAAACUCAAAGGAAUUGACGGGGGCCCGCACAAGCGGUGGAGCAUGUGGUUUAAUUCGAAGCAACGCGAAGAACCUUACCAGGUCUUGACAUCCUUUGACCACUCUAGAGAUAGAGCUUCCCCUUCGGGGGCAAAGUGACAGGUGGUGCAUGGUUGUCGUCAGCUCGUGUCGUGAGAUGUUGGGUUAAGUCCCGCAACGAGCGCAACCCUUAUUGUUAGUUGCCAUCAUUUAGUUGGGCACUCUAGCAAGACUGCCGGUGACAAACCGGAGGAAGGUGGGGAUGACGUCAAAUCAUCAUGCCCCUUAUGACCUGGGCUACACACGUGCUACAAUGGGAAGUACAACGAGUCGCGAAGUCGCGAGGCUAAGCUAAUCUCUUAAAGCUUCUCUCAGUUCGGAUUGUAGGCUGCAACUCGCCUACAUGAAGCCGGAAUCGCUAGUAAUCGCGGAUCAGCACGCCGCGGUGAAUACGUUCCCGGGCCUUGUACACACCGCCCGUCACACCACGAGAGUUUGUAACACCCGAAGUCGGUGAGGUAACCUUUUUGGAGCCAG